rnacentral:rRNA from 1 species
AUUGAACGCUGGCGGCAGGCCUAACACAUGCAAGUCGAGCGGAGGGGAGGAGGGGGGCGUAUGGCAUAGGAAUCUGACUGGUCGUGGGGGAUAACGUCAGGAAACGGGCGAUAAUACUGCAUACUAUCAGAUGAGCCUAGGCCGGAUUAGCUUGUUGGUGGGGUAAAGGCCUACCAAGGCGACGAUCCGUAUCUGGUCUGAGAGGAUGAUCAGCCACACUGGAACUGAGACACGGUCCAGACUCCUACGGGAGGCAGCAGUGGGGAAUAUUGGACAAUGGGCGAAAGCCUGAUCCAGCCAUGCCGCGUGUAUGAAGAAGGUCUUCGGGUUGUAAAGCACUUUUAGUUGAGAGGCGUUACCAGCAGAAUAAGCACCGGCUAACUUCGUGCCAGCAGCCGCGGUAAUUC